CUCCCACCCUCUCACCCGGGCUCCUGCUGAUGGGAGAUGGGAGUGGGUGGAGGUCGGCCGGGCCGUGACCAGGGCCCCAGCACAUUCCUGGUGUGCUUCGCGGGCCUCCCCUGUCCUCUGGCUCUCGGCCUCCAGUCUCUGGCUCCUGCUUCACUUUCUCUUUCUCCUUAUGUCUGUCUGCUUCAGGCUUUCUCUUUCCUUCCCCUCUUUCCUGUUGCUGGCCACCUUUCUUAGCUGUUGCACCCCUCAGUUCCUCUCUAGAUGCCCCCCACUUCUCAGACUCUGGCUCUGCUCUCUCUCUCUCUCUCUCUCUCUCUCUCUCUCUGCAUUUUUGUCUUCAGUGGCACCCUAAUCUUUCUGUCUGUUCCAUGCAACCUUCCUUCCAGGGAUAUCAGGACUGUUGUCGCCUUGGCACCGGAUUUCCUGCUGCAGACCGGAGCUCUAGACUCACAGGAAGAGUGUGACUUUCCUUAUUGUCCCAGACCUCAGUGCUUGGCUUCCCAAGGUGGUGCGUUGGAGAGGCCAGCGGACACGUCUGUAGGACUGACCCCUUUGUCCCAACGCUGCUGCGCAGGGCUGGCCAGGUCCCCCAGGCUCAGUCCAGGACCCUCUCCGGAGGCCCUUGGUCUCCCUGAGGGCGCAGGGAAUCGGGCCCCGCCCCCUCGCUCUUUCUGUAUUUGGCUUCUUGUGCAUUCUGUGGCUUCUGCUUGGUUUCAUUCCUCGCUGCCUGACAGAGAGAGUGGGUUUGUGCAGUUAAGGGGGCACCUCGGGGAGGAGGGGCUCUGUGUGCUUUCUCCUCUAGCAAGCUGCAUCCAAAAAAUAACUCCUUCCACAGCGGGGACAAAAAUAGCCCAGGUGCAGGGCUCAGAUGGGGGUGGGAGGCCGUGCAUGGAGCCGCACAGCUUUUUCCCUGCAACAUACGCCCACCUGGUCCCUUGGCCCGCAGGGACCACGGCCCGCUUGCACAUUUCCCGACCCCACCAUCCGGCCAGCUAGCAGAGUCUCUGGUAUUACUUACCUCUUUGUGUCUAAGUUAAUUCAUUAUCCAUCCUAUGUGUUUGCAGUUGUUAAUUCACCCACCCUCACAUCCACCCGCAGAGCCACCCACUUACCCUCCCGUCGACCCACCCACCAUGCAUGGACCCAGUCACCCGCCCGCCCUUCCGUCUGCCCACCCCGUCCUCCAGCUAUUCCCCCAGGUACCCCGCCUUCGCUGGCUACCCCCCGUAUACUUUUCACUAGUUGCCCUUAUGGUAACUGACCUAUCUAUUCGCUUAAUCCUGUGUGCUUUUGUCCAUGAAUUCAGCCACUGAUUCACUGCACUUUCGAGCCAAUUCAAACUCCCAAAUGCCUACAAGAGUUACUAUCGCCUGUCAGACGCUGUGUCAGGCUCUGCGACUAGCAAGUGAAGGAGACAGGCCUGGUGUCUACCUGUGUGCGAGUCCUGCAAGUCACUUCUGGGAUCAGGUGAGGAGCUCAUCGCAGAGGUCCCAGGUGAGUCCGACGUCCCUGCUCUCUGGAGACCGAUGGCAGGGUGAGCAUGGGGCUGGAUGCUGGGCCUGAUUUCAGGUCCAGCCCCCAAAUUCCUAACCAUUCAGAGCUUCAAUUUCCUCUUCUGGGAAAUGGGGACAAGUUUGCUCAUCCACCCUCCUGAGCCCCGUGUGCUGUGACUGUGGGUAGGUAUUGCACGUGAACAUGUGCGUGUGUGCCCUGUGCCCACAUGCAGGGUUUCUUGGGGGUUUCCCGUCACCCAGGCAUCCCCGCCCGCAGCCCCAUGAUCCCUGAAGCUGAGGGUCAUCUCUGAUAUUUUGCUGGUAACCAGGCAGCGCUUGGCUUCUGUGAACACACUGGGCAGGUCCGGGCCGAGUGCUGGCUGUGGGUCCAGGGGCGUACAGGGAGCUGGAGUCCUUCUGAGGGGCGGGGAUUCCUGUCUGAGCCCCUCUAGCAGAAUGAGUUAGAUAUUCUGAUGAAACAGCCCCCACCGCCUGCCGGAGCCUUAGGUUUCAGAGGCGAAGUGCGUCUCCAACUUCCUGGGUCGAGGUGCUCUGUACCUCAGAUACUGCCGGAGUAACAGUGCUAAUUCCUGCUAAACCCCAUGUGCUAUGUGACCCCAGGCAAGUCGCGUCCCCGAACCCCAUUCCCUCACCUGUAAAGUGCCUCUUAGAAACCUCACGGGCAGCGUGAGCACCUGCAGGCGCUGACAGUGAGCGCCCGAGCGCCAAGCACCCAUGUGAGUGCUCCCCCAAACUGGUGGAGGACCCGGAGGGAUGAGCUGCUGCCUCACUGUACUGGGGUGCGGGCCGGUGCUCAGCGGGGUGGGCUCCUCACAACACACACCCAUAAGCUGCUGUCUCUGCUCAGCCUUGCAGUGUGCUCUUCCCCUUUAACCCGCAACCUGUGAAGCUCUGUGUGUGUGUGUGUGUGUGUGUGUGUGUGUGUGUGUGCGUGUGUGUGCUUCGUUGAGCUCGAGCAUUCGCACAGGCGGUGCUCUCUGAGCCAGGGCUCUCAUGGUCCCCAGCCAGGUGCCUGCGUCAGGGAGGACACUUAGUGAGGCCAGAGCGAGGCCCGUGGGAUGUGUGGGGCUCACGACCCCUCAGGACCAGUCCUGGCCCGUUCCUCCUUCCUCUCCUGCUUCAUCCCAAGCCACCCUGACCAUGGGCGUGACCCAGCAUGAACCCAGCCACCCAGGGCCUUUGCAAAGCUGCUGUCACUCUUGAAAUGUCCCUGCCCCCGCUUUGUACCCUCACAAUCCUAUCCGUCUUUCCCGAAUCCGUUCCAGGAGAGCCUACAAGGCCGUGCAGGGAUGGGGUGGGGUGCGUUUCCUCUGUGGUCCCUCAGAGCCCUCUCGCCAUCUGAGCCCACACUGUCCUCUCCAUAUCCUUAGGUCCUGGGGCGCAGACAGCAUACAGAUGCUCAGAGGCACUGAUGGUGGAAGGAAGGGAGGGAAUUCUCCUCCUGUGCGGGUUUUCUAACACAAUCCAAAUGAGCCUCAGAGAAAGGCUGUUCCCCAAGGGCCCAGCUCUGUGCUGUUACCCGGGCAAAUACAGCAGCCAGCGAGUCGCAUGUGCUCUGGAGUCUAGAGAUCUGGCUCAGAGAGGCCUGCUCCUGUCCCCUGGGCCUCUGUCUGAACCUGGGUGCCCUGCUGCACUGCUCUAUUUCAGGGCCCGCCGGGGAGGAGCGGGGGGCAAACCCAGAGGGCGGCCCGUUCUGGAAGGUGACAGGGAACAGAGACCAGGCUGGACUGGGGAGGGAGAGGGAAGCCCGAAUCUCAUCACCUUGGCCUUGAGCUUGCCCCGUGGUGGUGCCUGGUCCGCUGCUCCAGAUCGGAGAGCGCUGUCUCCUCCCCGGAUGCGGGUGAAGACGGUCUCCACUCCUCCGCCCGCUGGGCCUCCAGCUCAGUUCACAGGAGGUAAAUGACUUGGACAAGGGAAAGCGUGAAGUCAUGGGUGGAUCCCCUUUCCACUUGGCUGGUCUGCUUCCUGCAGGGUUUCCUGACACCAGCCCGCCGUGAACUUGGUCCUGUGCUGUCCGCUGCAGUUGGAAGCUGGACUGCCCGGCCCAGUGUGUGCCUGGCAGAUGAUCUGCCCUGGAGCAGGGAACAGCACUGUGCACAGGGAAGGCGGGCCCUUCAAAACCCCAACAGACUGCACCCCAUCCUGACCUACAGAGCAACCUCGGCCCCCUGCCUGCUGCAGCCAACAACGACCCAGGCAGGAAGUGGGGCCGGGGACCGCGAGUCCUCUCGCUCUCCUCUCGGCACACGUGUCUUCCUGCUCAUCUCUCAGUGGGUGCCUUUCUGGGUGCCCUUCUGGGUGCCCAGUUUACCAAGUGGGUGCCCAGAGAGAUUUGGGGUUCGGUUAAGCAACAAGUAACACUUUUAGAACAAAUGUAUUCCAUGCAGUAUGUGAGACACGUCUACGCUAAAAAUUACCCUUUGUUUCUCCGAAGUUCAAGUGUAAUAGGCGUCUUGUGCUCGACCUGCUUGUCGAAAGGGCAUUGUGAAGCCAGGUGCAGUUCGCUUUCCUGCCCCACUCACGUUGAUUGAGCCUGGCUGUCACUGCUAUUAGAGUCAGACUAAGGAUGCUGCAUAUUCAAUAUAACACCAAUUAGUAAAUACUGUCAUUA
rnacentral:lncRNA from 1 species